AGGAUCCUAUUGAAGAUACCACAUUGCAUUUAAUCAUGACAUCUGCUUAGUCUCCUCUGGUAGAUGUCUAGUUUCUCAGCACCAUUUGUUGUACAUUCCCCACUGUGUAGUUUAGGACCCUCGACUAAGCUCAUCUGACGGUGUCUUGUCUUUGUCCUUACACUCAGAAUGGUAACCCCGUCUACCUCACUCUGAAGAUGUGAAGAUGAGAUCAGGCAAUGGACUUGGCACCAGCUCAGAAUACUGCUUUUGCCAGCACACCGUGAACAAAGCCAUCCCACUGGGACUGAUUCCCAGUCACUAAGCUCAUAAUCCCAUAUAAAAAUCAAAGUAAAGAGGUCAGCAUGAAUGGGCACUUGCCCAUGCAGACAGACAUAAGAACGGAAGCUAGAGUGAAACAGAAGUCUAUUUGAUUCUUGAACCUUCUGCCUAUGCUGUCACAGCUGGGAGCAGCAAGGAGUCUGAGAAAAUGGGUUUGAACAUCUCAUAGUUGGCUCAUUCUUUACUCUAGGUAGACCACAUCUGUGUUACCUGUAUGUCCUCGUGGAUAACUUUGGCAUAAAUGUGUCUUAGUCCAUUCAGGCCACUAUAACAGAAAGUAUCAAAAAGACUUGGUGGCUUAUAAAUAACAGAACUUUUUUCUCACAAAUCUGGAGGCUAGAAAGUCCAACAGGAAGUCACUGGCAGAUUCAGUGUCUAGUGCUGGCAUAUUUCCUGACUCAUAAAUGACUAUUUUCAUGGUAUUCUAUGGCAGAAGGGAGGAGGGGUCUCUUGGAAAAGGGUAUAAUCCCAUUCAUGAGUGCUUCACUCUUAUGACUUAAUCACCGCAAAGGUCCCACCUCCUAAUGCCAACAGAAGGUUGGUUAUUGGGGUUAUUUUUCAACACAUGAAUUUUGAAAAGACAUAAACAUUCAGUUUAUAGCAUGUGGAAAACACAGUUCUCCACCCAAGAGCAUAAUGGAAGACAGUAACUAUGACGGUGGAGUAGAAAGACCCUGAGCUCACCUCCUCUCAUGAGCACAUAAAAAUCACAGCUCUCUGCAAAGCAGCCAUUGAUAAAAAAACAAAACAAAACUGGAACUACCAGAAAAGAUUUUCUACAACUAAAGACAUAAACAAGGAACCACAAUGAGACAAGUAGGAAAGGCAGAACUGUGAUAGAAUCAAAUCCCAUAUGCCCCAGAUGGGUAACCCACAAACUGGAGAACAGUAAUAUUGCAGAGGUUCUCCCACCAGAGUGAGAGUUCUAAGCCCCACAUCAGGCUCUCAAGCCCCAGGGUCCAGCACCUGGAAGAUGAGCCCCC